rnacentral:rRNA from 1 species
GACAGAGGAUGCAAGCGUUAUCCGGAAUGAUUGGGCGUAAAGCGUCUGUAGGUGGCUUUUUAAGUCCGCCGUCAAAUCCCAGGGCUCAACCCUGGACAGGCGGUGGAAACUACCAAGCUGGAGUACGGUAGGGGCAGAGGGAAUUUCCGGUGGAGCGGUGAAAUGCGCAGAUAUCAGGAGGAACACCAAUGGCGAAGGCAGCACUCUGGGACGUGACUGACGCUGAGACGCGAAAGCGUGGGGAGCAAACAGG